AAUGGACGCAAGUCUGAUGGAGCAACGCCGCGUGAGUGAAGAAGGGUUUCGGCUCGUAAAGCUCUGUUGGUAGUGAAGAAAGAUAGAGGUAGUAACUGGCCUUUAUUUGACGGUAAUUACUUAGAAAGUCACGGCUAACUACGUGCCAGCAGCCGCGGUAUACGUAGGUGGCAAGCGUUGUCCGGAUUUAUUGGGCGUAAAGCGAGUGCAGGCGGUUCAAUAAGUCUGAUGUGAAAGCCUUCGGCUCAACCGGAGAAUUGCAUCAGAAACUGUUGAACUUGAGUGCAGAAGAGGAGAGUGGAACUCCAUGUGUAGCGGUGGAAUGCGUAGAUAUAUGGAAGAACACCAGUGGCGAAGGCGGCUCUCUGGUCUGCAACUGACGCUGAGGCUCGAAAGCAUGGGUAGCGAACAGGAUUAGAUACCCUGGUAGUCCAUGCCGUAAACGAUGAGUGCUAAGUGUUGGGAGGUUUCCGCCUCUCAGUGCUGCAGCUAACGCAUUAAGCACUCCGCCUGGGGAGUACGACCGCAAGGUUGAAACUCAAAGGAAUUGACGGGGGCCCGCACAAGCGGUGGAGCAUGUGGUUUAAUUCGAAGCAACGCGAAGAACCUUACCAGGUCUUGACAU
rnacentral:rRNA from 1 species